GCUCCAUGGGAGCCAAAACCCUAACUUUCAUCUAAUCCAUCAAAUUGAAAGGCUAAACGAAGCUUAAAUUCACAACCGAGCAUGAAUUAAUGAUCACCUUCACAAGAGGAUCAUAAGCAUUUGGUCAAAGUGACGCAAGCACGAAAGGCUCAAGGGUCAAAAGGACACAAGGAAGCGAACGCGAAUACGGCCGCAAAUAGGUAUGCUAUGGAAGUCCAUUGUGAUGUUUUGAGGAAUUGGAAUGCAAGAUUGUACUCGGAAGGAUGAUCGAAAAGUCUUGCACGAAUAGAAAGAUUGCGGCGUGGUCAAUUAAUUAUGUACGAUAGGUUAUGAAUGUAGAUUAUCAAAUUUUAAUGAUGUGCAUGUUUGUGGUGAAUGUAAGUUACACGGACUAACAUCGGUAUAAAGUAUUGGAGGAUUGAAGAUCGAGUCAAGGGCAAGAAUUGUACGGGAAGAGUAGUCACAUAUCUGGGGAUCGUAUAUGUAGUUGAUGUGGUAAUCAAGAUUAAACGUUGUAAAUCUUUUAAGAAAGUGUGGGUUAUUCCAGAAAGGAACUUAGAAAUAAGUUAAAUAAGUAAUAUAAAAAGAAAUUUUAA